AUACGGAGGAUGCAAGCGUUAUCCGGAUUUAUUGGGCUUAAAGGGUGCGUAGGCGGAUGAUUAAGCGUGAGGUGAAAUGCCACUGCUCAACAGUGGAACUGCCUCGCGAACUGGUUGUCUUGAAUGCUCCUGCCGUGGGAGGAAUGUGUGGUGUAGCGGUGAAAUGCAUAGAGAUCACACAGAACACCGAUUGCGAAGGCAUCUCACGAAGGGGUGAUUGACGCUGAGGCACGAAAGCGUGGGGAUCAAACAGGAUUAGAUACCCUGGUAGUCCACGCAGUAAACGAUGAUAACUAACCGCUGGGUCGUAGUGAUUCAGUGGCCAAGCGAAAGCGAUAAGUUAUCCACCUGGGGAGUACGACCGCAAGGUUGAAACUCAAAGGAAUUGACGGGG
rnacentral:rRNA from 1 species